GACGAACGCUGGCGGCAUGCUUAACACAUGCAAGUCGAACGGUAAGGCCCUUCGGGGUACGCGAGUGGCGAACGGGUGAGUAACACGUGGGUGAUCUGCCCUGCACUUCGGGAUAAGCCUGGGAAACUGGGUCUAAUACCGGAUAGGACCACUGCCUGCAUGGGUGGUGGUGGAAAGCUUUUGCGGUGUGGGAUGGGCCCGCGGCCUAUCAGCUUGUUGGUGGGGUGAUGGCCUACCAAGGCGACGACGGGUAGCCGGCCUGAGAGGGUGACCGGCGACACUGGGACUGAGAUACGGCCCAGACGCCUACGGGAGGCAGCAGUGGGGAAUAUUGCACAAUGGGCGCAAGCCUGAUGCAGCGACGCCGCGUGAGGGAUGACGGCCUUCGGGUUGUAAACCUCUUUCAGCACCGACGAAGCGCAAGUGACGGUAGGUGCAGAAGAAGGACCGGCCAACUACGUGCCAGCCGCCGCAGUAA
rnacentral:rRNA from 1 species